rnacentral:misc_RNA from 1 species
UUUCCGUAGGUGAACCUGCGGAAGGAUCAUUAGUGAAUACCCUCGCGGCCAUGGCUGUAGCUGAACCGACUGGUAACGCACCCCCGAGGGCCCUUUCACCCAUCCAGCUCACCCCUAUGUCCAACACCACGUCAAUCCCCCUCUUGCUUCAUCGGAGGUGGUCGUACGUUUUCCCACAAACUAUGCAGGCAGUGGAGAGUGUAUAUUUUGUUUUUCCGAUCACGCAAUCAAUACACCUUUGCACAACUGAUCUCUUGACUCUAGCAUCUAUGAAGAACG